CCAGACUCCUACGGGAGGCAGCAGUGAGGAAUAUUGGUCAAUGGGCGAGAGCCUGAACCAGCCAAGUCGCGUGAGGGAGUACUGCCCUAUGGGUUGUAAACCUCUUUUGUCGGGGAGCAAAAGCCGGACGUGUCCGGCUGUGAGAGUACCCGAAGAAAAAGCAUCGGCUAACUCCGUGCCAGCAGCCGCGGUAAUACGGAGGAUGCGAGCGUUAUCCGGAUUUAUUGGGUUUAAAGGGUGCGUAGGCGGAAUGCCAAGUCAGGGGUAAAAUCGCGGGGCUCAACCUCGCUCCGCCGUUGAAACUGGCGUUCUUGAGUGGGCGAGAAGUAUGCGGAAUGCGUGGUGUAGCGGUGAAAUGCAUAGAUAUUACACAGAACACCGAUUGCGAAGGCAGCUUGCUAGGCCGGAUCUGACACUGAUGCACGAAAGCGUGGGGAUCGAACAGGAUUAGAUACCCUAGUAC
rnacentral:rRNA from 1 species